rnacentral:rRNA from 1 species
CUGCUGCCUCCCGUAGGAGUUUGGGCCGUGUCUCAGUCCCAAUGUGGCCGCACCNCUCAGCGGC